GGUCUCCUGGUCGCAUCUGGAGAGUUUCCAGUACUCUACCAGUCUCGAUUACAGGAGGGAGAGUCGUGCAGAGGCAUAUCCAUUUCAUUCCUAGCUUGGACAGUGGCUAGCAAGUGGAAGGCAACCUGCUAUAAGU